GACGAACGCUGGCGGCGUGCUUAACACAUGCAAGUCGAACGGAAAGGCCCUGCUUUUGUGGGGUGCUCGAGUGGCGAACGGGUGAGUAACACGUGAGUAACCUGCCCUUGACUUUGGGAUAACUUCAGGAAACUGGGGCUAAUACCGGCUAGGAGCUCCUGCUGCUUGGUGGUGGUUGGAAAGUUUCGGCGGUUGGGGAUGGACUCGCGGCUUAUCAGCUUGUUGGUGGGGUAGUGGCUUACCAAGGCUUGGACGGGUAGCCGGCCUGAGAGGGUGACCGGCCACAGUGGGACUGGGAUACGACCCAGACUCCUACGGGAGGCAGCAGUGGGGGAUAGUGCGCAAAGGGCGGAAGCCGGAAGCAGCAACGCCGCGUGCGGGAUGACGGCCUUCGGGGUGGAAACCGCUUGCGCCUGGGACGAAGCGUGAGUGACGGUAAUGGGUAAGGAAGCACCGGCUAACUACGUG
rnacentral:rRNA from 1 species